GGGUACCUACGGGGCGCAGCAGUGAGGAAUAUUGGUCAAUGGGCGCGAGCCUGAACCAGCCAAGUCGCGUGAGGGAAGACGGUCCUAUGGAUUGUAAACCUCUUUUGUCGGGGAGCAAAAGACGCCACGCGUGGCGUUCCGAGAGUACCCGAAGAAAAAGCAUCGGCUAACUCCGUGCCAGCAGCCGCGGUAAUACGGAGGAUGCGAGCGUUAUCCGGAUUUAUUGGGUUUAAAGGGUGCGCAGGCGGGAGAUCAAGUCAGCGGUAAAAUGUCGGGGCUCCACCCCGGCCGGCCGUUGAACAUGG
rnacentral:rRNA from 1 species